GACGAACGCUGGCGGCGUGCUUAACACAUGCAAGUCGAACGGAAAGGCCCUGCUUUUGUGGGGUGCUCGAGUGGCGAACGGGUGAGUAACACGUGAGUAACCUGCCCUUGACUUUGGGAUAACUUCAGGAAACUGGGGCUAAUACCGGAUAGGAGCUCUUGCUGCAUGGUGGGGGUUGGAAAGUUUCGGCGGUUGGGGAUGGACUCGCGGCUUAUCAGCUUGUUGGUGGGGUAGUGGCUUACCAAGGCUUUGACGGGUAGCCGGCCUGAGAGGGUGACCGGCCACAUUGGGACUGAGCUACGGCCCAGACUCGUACGGUAGGCAGAAGUGGAGAAUAUUGCACAAUGGGCGGAAGCCUGAUGCAACAACGCCGCGUGCGGGAUGACGGCCUUCGGGUUGUAAACCGCUUUCGCCUGUGACGAAGCGUGAGUGACGGUAAUGGGUAAAGAAGCACCGGCUAACUACGUG
rnacentral:rRNA from 1 species